GAGUUUGAUCCUGGCUCAGGACGAACGCUGGCGGCGUGCUUAACACAUGCAAGUCGAACGAUGAAGCUGGAGCUUGCUCCGGUGGAUUAGUGGCGAACGGGUGAGUAACACGUGAGAAAUCUGCCCCUGACUCUGGGAUAACUGCGGGAAACUGUAGCUAAUACCGGAUACUUUCCCUGGUGGGCAUCCACUGGGGAAGAAAGAAUUUCGGUCAGGGAGGAUCUCGCGGCCUAUCAGCUAGUUGGUGAGGUAACGGCUCACCAAGGCGACGACGGGUAACCGGCCUGAGAGGGUGACCGGUCACACUGGGACUGAGACACGGACCAGACUCCUACGGGAGGCAGCAGUGAGGAAUAUUGCGCAAUGGACGAAAGUCUGACGCAGCCAUGCCGCGUGCAGGAUGACGGCGCUAUGCGUUGUAAACUGCUUUUAUAUGCCAAGAAACCUUCGGACGUGUCCGAAGCUGACGGUAGCAUAUGAAUAAGCACCGGCUAACUCCGUGCCAGCAGCCGCGGUAAUACGGAGGGUGCAAGCGUUAUCCGGAUUUAUUGGGUUUAAAGGGUCCGUAGGCGGGUCAUUAAGUCAGUGGUGAAAGCCGGCAGCUCAACUGUCGAACUGCCAUUGAUACUGAUGAUCUUGAAUACGGUUGAAGUUGGCGGAAUAGGUCAUGUAGCGGUGAAAUGCUUAGAUAUGACCUAGAACACCGAUUGCGAAGGCAGCCAACUAAGCCGUUAUUGACGCUGAGGGACGAAAGCGUGGGGAGCGAACAGGAUUAGAUACCCUGGUAGUCCACGCCGUAAACGAUGAUUACUCGGUAUUGGCAUUGUCAGUGCCCAAGCGAAAGUGAUAAGUAAUCCACCUGGGGAGUACGCCCGCAAGGGUGAAACUCAAAGGAAUUGACGGGGGCCCGCACAAGCGGUGGAGCAUGUGGUUUAAUUCGAUGAUACGCGAGGAACCUUACCAGGGUUUAAAUGCAGAACGACAGGGGUGGAAACACCCCCUUCUUCGGACGGACUGCAAGGUGCUGCAUGGUUGUCGUCAGCUCGUGCUGUGAAGUGUCGGGUUAAGUCCCAUAACGAGCGCAACCCCCAUUUCUAGUUGCCAGCGGUUCGGCCGGGGACUCUAGAGAAACUGCCAGCGUAAGCUGUGAGGAAGGUGGGGAUGACGUCAAAUCAUCACGGCCCUUACAUCCUGGGCCACACACGUGCUACAAUGGUGGGGACAACAGGUUGCCAACCCGCGAGGGUGAGCCAAUCCCAAAACCCCAUCUCAGUUCGGAUCGGAGUCUGCAACUCGACUCCGUGAAGUUGGAAUCGCUAGUAAUCGCGGAUCAGCCAUGCCGCGGUGAAUACGUUCCCGGGCCUUGCACUCAC
rnacentral:rRNA from 1 species